rnacentral:rRNA from 1 species
CGGACCGGCGAACGGGUGAGUAACGCGUGAGUAACCUGCCCUGGAGUGGGGGACAACAGUUGGAAACGACUGCUAAUACCGCAUAAGCCCACGAUCCGGCAUCGGAUUGAGGGAAAAGGAUUUAUUCGCUUCAGGAUGGACUCGCGUCCAAUUAGCUAGUUGGUGAGGUAACGGCCCACCAAGGCGACGAUUGGUAGCCGGACUGAGAGGUUGAACGGCCACAUUGGGACUGAGACACGGCCCAG